CCGCCUCUUGGAAGUAAUCAGGCACCUUGGACUAGAAAUUCGUUUCGGAGCGCACUGGUUUCCCUCCUCUGAUAUCGGGUGAUGAUUUACAAUGGCCAUGAUUCCCUGGUUGCUGUUGUUUGUUCUCCUUUUUCUCGAUGAUUCCUUGGCAGAUAAUCCAGAGGAUGUGGGUGGAUGCUACAACAAGAACUUCAGCAUCCUUCUCAUUGAGUAUUCUCCAACAGAUACCCCUGACCCUGCAACAGCCUCAGUCUAUUUCACUCCCAGCAUCCCUGCUGGUCCUCAGAGAAUAGUGUUGGAAAAUGGACAAAUGAAGGACAACCGAUACAAUCUUGUGUCCAACAAGUCAGGAGUCUACUUUGAAGUACCUCAGCUAAAUGCAGAGGAUCAGGGGUUAUUUUCUGUGAUAUUCAAUGAUACCGAUAUGGAGAAUGAGACAUACUCCCUUACGGUGACAGAGUGCGCCCAUCUGGAAAAUUUGGAUUAUGGAAGUAAUUUCUCCAUUCUUCUCAACGGAGACAUUUUGGAGUUCACCAGAAGGGGCUCCUACUUGGAACCAGCGCUUUUAUGGAACCGGAGUCACCCUACUGUCAGUGAGAGGAGCAGAGGUCGAGCACAAGCUGGACACUGGCUAUCAACGAACAUCACCCAGACAGACCAGGGGAAUUACACCGUCCGAGAUGUCAAGGGCAAACCUGUGUCCACUACAGUCCUCAUUGUCACUGAGAUCCAUACCUAUGAUUAUAUGGAAAUUGACGAGGAUCUGAUCAUUGACCUACCCUUCAGUCUCUCCAAAGUGACCCUCCUCUUCCAUCCUGAAAUUGCUAAGUGUAAUGUGAAUCACCACGUCAGGCCAAGGGUCCUGGUGCGGGACGGGGUGCUGGUUUUAGAGGAGAAGCAGACCUAUGAGAAGAGACUAAAGAUGUCCCACUACCAGAUUGUGUUAGAGGAAUUCCAGAUUGCUGAUAUAGGAUCUUACCAUGUACAUGACCCCCAAGGGAACUUGGCUACCACUGUUGAGGUGGAAAUCAUAAUGCCCUCUGAGGCCUGGAAGACGGCAGCCUUACCUGUGGUUGGAAUUGUAUUCAUGUUACUGGGAUACUAUUGGAAGGCUAAGGGUAUUUCAUGUUGCAAAGGCAUUAAAGACCCAGAGGCAGCUUAAGCCUUUGUGGCUAAUGACGAACAGCAGAGGAACAUGAGUGUCUUUGUGUGGUUUCCAACUGACGACAGCUUUCUUCAUGGUCCUUCUUGAAGGAAAGGAGUUACCAGGCAGUAGAUUCCAGACACUUUAAUAUAGAGCAGUUGGAAGUGCAACAUUGCAGAGACUUAUCUAGUUCAUUCCCAGCCCCGUAUACAAUCUUGCUUGAAGAGACUGAGAGUUCCAGCAGAUACCUUACAGAUUUUGCUAAAUUGCUCUUCCUCCUGGACAACUUUUUUGUAAGCUCUGUGGAGUAGUCUUGGUAUAUGAAGAAAAUUCUAUCAGUGUUCACCAUUUCGAGUACUAUUUUGAUCUGUAUGGCAUUUCUCUGGAAAAGAUUGACAUUUCAAUAAGUUGAUUUUUGCACCACCUACCUCACCAUACUGAAGCCUGGUUGAUAAACUGCUUGCAUCUGUUCCUCAGGUCAACAAAAGGUUUUGCAAAUAUUGUGGGCAAUAAAUAUGUGGACUUGAUAGUUAUGGGAUAUAGC
rnacentral:lncRNA from 1 species